rnacentral:rRNA from 1 species
GACGAACGCUGGCGGCGUGCUUAACACAUGCAAGUCGAACGGUAAGGCCCUUUCGGGGGUACACGAGUGGCGAACAGGUGAGUAACACGUGGGUAAUCUGCCCUGCACUUCGGAAUAAGCCUGGGAAACUGGGUCUAAUACCGGAUAUUCAGCUUUCAUCGCAUGGUGGUUGUUGGAAAGGUUUUCGGUGCAGGAUGAGUCCGCGGCCUAUCAGCUUGUUGGUGGGGUAAUGGCCUACCAAGGCGACGACGGGUAGCCGGCCUGAGAGGGUGAUCGGCCACACUGGGACUGAGACACGGCCCAGACUCCUACGGGAGGCAGCAGUGGGGAAUAUUGCACAAUGGGCGAAAGCCUGAUGCAGCGACGCCGCGUGGGGGAUGACGGUCUUCGGAUUGUAAACCCCUUUCAGUAGGGACGAAGCGCAAGUGACGGUACCUGCAGAAGAAGCACCGGCCAACUACGUGCCAGCAGCAGCCGCAGUAA